CACCAGUGAGCGCACUUGUCGGAAUGUGUAGGUGUACAGGAGAGUACUCAAAAUGGUGGAUUACGGAGUGUUCAGAUUGAAUAGUUAAGAAAUAAUUUGAGUUGUGUGGCUGCUCGCUCUUGAUUAACUAAUAUAAAAAAAUUUCCGCACAUGUGUUUUAAUAGUUACACCAAGUCAUGUCGAGUAUCUGAAAGAAACCUUGCCUGACUUUUCGAGUUGUCUACUGCCUAAUUUUGAUUCUCAAGUAGUUUUUAAAUGUACGCUAUCCACUAGUCGAUGAUGUGCAGAGUAUGCUCUUCUACUAUAUAGCGAUAUAAAAAAUUGCCUCUUGAUGUUUUAAUAAGGUAUAAGUGUAAGAAUUCAAAAUCUAUAGAUUUUGAAUGCAGCAAUCUUCAUGGAUGCUGCGGUCAGAGCAGCAGCAAUGAUGAACAGCUCGUCAGUUUUUUAUAUAGGGAAAAAUUUU